ACACGACUACAUUAGAUACCCGGGUAGUCCCAGCCCUAAACGAUGCGCGUUAGGUGUAUCGGUGACCACGAGUCACCGAGGUGCCGAAGGGAACCGUGAAACGUGCCGCCUGGGAGUACGUCCGCAAGGAUGAAACUUAAAGGAAUUGGCGGGGGAGCACCGCAACGGGAGGAGCGUGCGGUUUAAUUGGAUUCAACACCGUAAAACUCACCAGGGAAGACUGUUACAUGAAGGCCGAGAUGAAGACUCUGCUAGAUUUUCAG
rnacentral:rRNA from 1 species